AUUGAACGCUGGCGGAAUGCUUUACACAUGCAAGUCGAGCGGCAGCGCGGGGCAACCUGGCGGCGAGCGGCGAACGGGUGAGUAAUACAUCGGAACGUGCCCAGACGUGGGGGAUAACUACUCGAAAGAGUGGCUAAUACCGCAUACGAUUUAAGGAUGAAAGCGGGGGAUCGCAAGACCUCGCGCGUCUGGAGCGGCUGAUGGCAGAUUAGGUAGUUGGUGGGGUAAAGGCCUACCAAGCCUGCGAUCUGUAGCUGGUCUGAGAGGAUGAUCAGCCACACUGGGACUGAGACACGGCCCAGACUCCUACGGGAGGCAGCAGUGGGGGAAUUUUUGGACAAUGGGCGAAGCCUGAUCCAGCCAUUCCGCGUGCAGGAUGAAGGCCCUCGGGUUGUAAACUGCUUUUGUACAGAACGAAAAGCUCCGGCUAAUACCUGAGUCCAUGACGGUACUGUAAGAAUAAGCACCGGCUAACUACGUGCCAGCAGCCGCGGUAA
rnacentral:rRNA from 1 species